UUGGUUAAGUUAGAAAGGGCGCACGGUGGAUGCCUUGGCACUAGGAGCCGAAGAAGGACGGGACUAACACCGAUAUGCUUUGGGGAGCUGUACGUAAGCGUUGAUCCAGAGAUUUCCGAAUGGGGGAACCCACUAUCUUUAGUCGGAUAGUAUCCUUACGUGAAUACAUAGCGUGAGGAAGGCAGACCCAGGGAACUGAAACAUCUAAGUACCUGGAGGAAGAGAAAGAAAAAUCGAUUUCCUGAGUAGCGGCGAGCGAAACGGAAAGAGCCCAAACCAAGAAGCUUGCUUCUUGGGGUUGUAGGACACUCUAUACGGAGUUACAAAAGAAAGUUAUAAAUGAAGCGGUCUGGAAAGGCCCGCCAAAGACGGUAACAGCCCGGUAGUUGAAAUGGCUUUCCCUCCAGAGUGGAUCCUGAGUACGGCGGAACACGUGAAAUUCCGUCGGAAUCCGGGAGGACCAUCUCCCAAGGCUAAAUACUCCCUAGUGACCGAUAGUGAACCAGUACCGUGAGGGAAAGGUGAAAAGCACCCCGGAAGGGGAGUGAAACAGUUCCUGAAACCGUGUGCCUACAAGUAGUUAGAGCCCGUUAAUGGGUGAUAGCGUGCCUUUUGUAGAAUGAACCGGCGAGUUACGAUUUGUUGCAAGGUUAAGCGGAAAAAGCGGAGCCGUAGCGAAAGCGAGUCUGAAUAGGGCGCAUAAGUAACAGGUCGUAGACCCGAAACCAGGUGAUCUACCCAUGUCCAGGAUGAAGGUAAGGUAAUACUUACUGGAGGUCCGAACCCACGCACGUUGAAAAGUGCGGGGAUGAGGUGUGGGUAGCGGAGAAAUUCCAAUCGAACUUGGAGAUAGCUGGUUCUCUCCGAAAUAGCUUUAGGGCUAGCCUCGAGGUAAAGAGUCAUGGAGGUAGAGCACUGUUUGGACUAGGGGCCCUUCUCGGGUUACCGAAUUCAGAUAAACUCCGAAUGCCAUGUACUUAUACUCGGGAGUCAGACUGCGAGUGAUAAGAUCCGUAGUCGAAAGGGAAACAGCCCAGACCACCAGUUAAGGUCCCCAAAUAUAUGUUAAGUGGAAAAGGAUGUGGGGUUGCUUAGACAACCAGGAUGUUGGCUUAGAAGCAGCCACCAUUGAAAGAGUGCGUAAUAGCUCACUGGUCGAGUGACCCCGCGCCGAAAAUGUACCGGGGCUAAACAUAUUACCGAAACUGUGGAUGAACCUCUUUAGAGGUUCGUGGUAGGAGAGCGUUCUAAGGGCGGUGAAGUCAGACCGGAAGGACUGGUGGAGCGCUUAGAAGUGAGAAUGCCGGUAUGAGUAGCGAAAGAAGGGUGAGAAUCCCUUCCACCGAAUAUCUAAGGUUUCCUGAGGAAGGCUCGUCCGCUCAGGGUUAGUCGGGACCUAAGCCGAGGCCGAUAGGCGUAGGCGAUGGACAACAGGUAGAGAUUCCUGUACCAGUGCUAAUUGUUUAACCGAUGGGGUGACACAGAAGGAUAGGGAAUCGCACGAAUGGAAAUGUGCGUCCAAGCAGUGAGUGUGAGAAGUAGGCAAAUCCGCUUCUCGCGAAGCAUGAGCUGUGAUGGGGAAGGAAAUUAAGUACGGAAGUUCCUGAUUUCACGCUGUCAAGAAAAGCCUCUAGGAAGAGUAGUACUGCCCGUACCGCAAACCGACACAGGUAGAUGAGGAGAGAAUCCUAAGGUGAGCGAGAGAACUCUCGUUAAGGAA
rnacentral:rRNA from 1 species